CACAUUCUGAAUCACCGAUUAGAGUUUGUCUUUCUCUCUCAACUCCAUUGAAACCCGUUUACAACUCAGUUCUAUUAGGGUUUCUUCAUUUUCUCUCUACCUACUGCUUCUCCGUUGUUUCUAUGAUGAUUUAAUGAAGCCGUCAUCUUCAUCACAAAGAUGGAUGGUAUAAACUGUUUAUGGAGCAUUUGCAUUCUAUACUGUUGGUUUCAUAGACUUCCACCAUAAUCUUUGGAAUGGAUGUGUCACAUGGUGGUAUGCUGCAUGGUCGUUGCCGAUUGUAGGCGUCUCUGUUGAGCCACCUUACGAGAGCUUUCUUUGCCCUGCUUUCGGGCCAUGAUGGUGAUGUUUGUUCACCUGAUUUUACCCCUGUAAAGUCUCUUUUAUUUUAUUUAUCACAUUAGAGGAUGUGAGAACGGUGUAUUACCAUAGAUUUUGAAGUGUAUUAAAUUUGUUACCUAACUAUGAUGGUCUCUACACCUGAGUUCUUAUCGAUGAAAGCUUAUAAUGAUUUUUCUUA